rnacentral:rRNA from 1 species
CCUAUAAGACUGGGAUAACUUCGGGAAACCGGAGCUAAUACCGGAUAACAUUUGGAACCGCAUGGUUCUAAAGUGAAAGAUGGUUUUGCUAUCACUUAUAGAUGGACCCGCGCCGUAUUAGCUAGUUGGUAAGGUAACGGCUUACCAAGGCAACGAUACGUAGCCGACCUGAGAGGGUGAUCGGCCACACUGGAACUGAGACACGGUCCAGACUCCUACGGGAGGCAGCAGUAGGGAAUCUUCCGCAAUGGGCGAAAGCCUGACGGAGCAACGCCGCGUGAGUGAUGAAGGGUUUCGGCUCGUAAAACUCUGUUAUUAGGGAAGAACAAAUGUGUAAGUAACUAUGCACAUCUUGACGGUACCUAAUCAGAAAGCCACGGCUAACUACGUGCCAGCAGCCGCGGUAAUACGUAGGUGGCAAGCGUUAUCCGGAAUUAUUGGGCGUAAAGCGCGCGUAGGCGGUUUCUUAAGUCUGAUGUGAAAGCCCACGGCUCAACCGUGGAGGGUCAUUGGAAACUGGGAAACUUGAGUGCAGAAGAGGAAAGUGGAAUUCCAUGUGUAGCGGUGAAAUGCGCAGAGAUAUGGAGGAACACCAGUGGCGAAGGCGACUUUCUGGUCUGUAACUGACGCUGAUGUGCGAAAGCGUGGGGAUCAAACAGGAUUAGAUACCCUGGUAGUCCACGCCGUAAACGAUGAGUGCUAAGUGUUAGGGGGUUUCCGCCCCUUAGUGCUGCAGCUAACGCAUUAAGCACUCCGCCUGGGGAGUACGACCGCAAGGUUGAAACUCAA